AUUGAACGCUGGCGGCAUGCCUUACACAUGCAAGUCGAACGGUAACGGGCCUUCGGGUGCCGACGAGUGGCGAACGGGUGAGUAAUACAUCGGAACGUGCCCGAUCGUGGGGGAUAACGAGGCGAAAGCUUUGCUAAUACCGCAUACGAUCUACGGAUGAAAGCCGGGGACCGCAAGGCCUUGCGCGGACGGAGCGGCCGCUGGCAGAUUAGGUAGUUGGUGGGAUAAAAGCUUACCAAGCCGACGAUUUGUAGCUGGUCUGAGAGGAUGAUCAGCCACACUGGGACUGAGACACGGCCCAGACUCCUACGGGAGGCAGCAGUGGGGAAUUUUGGACAAUGGGCGCAAGCCUGAUCCAGCCAUGCCGCGUGCAGGAUGAAGGCCUUCGGGUUGUAAACUGCUUUUGUACGGAACGAAAAGCCUUCUUUUAAUACAGGAGGGUCAUGACGGUACCGUAAGAAUAAGCACCGGCUAACUACGUG
rnacentral:rRNA from 1 species